rnacentral:rRNA from 1 species
CGGCAACGGAUAUCUCGGCUCUCGCAUCGAUGAAGAACGUAGCGAAAUGCGAUACUUGGUGUGAAUUGCAGAAUCCCGUAAACCAUCGAGUCUUUGAACGCAAGUUGCGCCCGAAGCCAUCAGGCCGAGGGCACGCCUGCCUGGGCGUCACACGCCGUUGCCCCC